CAGAGCUUCUGCAGCCAAGGGAGAAGAAAUGAGGCUGGGAGAAUGGACAAGGGAUGGAGUUGUGAAAAGCCUUGAAUGCCAUGCCAAGGCCAUUGAGAUUUCACCCUGAUGGCAAUGAGGAGCUCUUGAAGGAUUUCAUAAGCAGGGAAUGACAUGAUCAAUUUUGCUUCCCCAUUGAUAGUAUAGAAAGCUGGGGAUAGGAUGACCAUCUGGGAGGCCAGGGCAGCAGCCAGGCAAAAGAGGAUGAUGCCUUGAAAUAAGGAAGUGGCCAUGGGGAUGUAGAAGAAAUUAAAGAGACACCAGUGGGUCACAGUGACUGACCAGCUCUGGGGACAAAGAGGAAACAAAAGGUCAUAAACAGUGGCUUAUGAUGGCUUAUGAUGAUCAAUGAUGGUUUAUGAUGAUGAUUAUGGCUUAUGAUAUCAGUGACUGAGGAGAUGAAACCUAGCAGGUCUGGUGGGAGGUUUCCCAGACCAGGCUUUUCUCCUGGGAGGGAGGAUCUGCAUGGUCUGUGUCUGCCCAUGAUGGUGGUUGAGGCCAGUUUAAAGCUUUCUUGAUCAAAUCGCCUAACCUCCAGGAGAACACAUUCUUCCGUUUCCUGGGGCAGGGCACCCCAUUCCAGCCUAGGAGCCACCAUCCUGCUGUCUUCAGUCACACUCCCAUCUGGGUUACCCGACUUGUGUGGACCUAUUUGUUAUCAGUUCUGCCUAGGGCUGGCAGAUUUCAAUUAAACAGCCCACUGGGUCUACUCUCUUCUGAGAUCUGGCCUGCCUGAAGGCACACUCUGGUCUUUGAACAGGACUGGAAGGUGAUUAGGGUUGUCCUGGGGUUGGCAGAAGGGCUUGGGGCUACACCAGGGUGGGGCUGAAGCAACUCUAAGCACCUCUCACUGCCCCACCACAGGUUUAAGUUUCAGGAAGAUAGACUUCUGUGUCCUCCCUGCACCCCAUCUCCCCUCUGCCCGCAGAGGCUGGACCCAGCUUGUCAGAAGAUGCCUGAAUUCUGGGCAAAUCUAAAGAUCACAGAAACAGCUAAUUUUAGUAGACAAUCAGGGAUGCUAAGUUUAAAACUGAGGUAGAUCUUGAAUUUCCUUCUGGACCCCACAGCUGGGAGGACUUGCCUUCCAAGCGUGGUUGAUUGGUGUUGGCCGGCACAGUGGAGGUUGGCAGCUCCAGGCUGUCUCUGGGAGUCUGGCCGCCCAGCUCGUUCAUCUACAAUGUCCAUGCUUUCCCAUCCAGAAGGCUUCAUUUUGAUGUGAAUUGGAGUGCAAACGUGGCUCAAUUGUAGACCAAACUCUGC
rnacentral:lncRNA from 13 species